rnacentral:rRNA from 1 species
UACGUAGGGUGCAAGCGUUGUCCGGAAUUAUUGGGCGUAAAGAGCUCGUAGGCGGUUUGUCGCGUCGGCUGUGAAAACCCGGGGCUCAACCCCCGGGCCUGCAGUCGAUACGGGCAAACUAGAGUGUGGUAGGGGAGACUGGAAUUCCUGGUGUAGCGGUGGAAUGCGCAGAUAUCAGGAGGAACACCGGUGGCGAAGGCGGGUCUCUGGGCCGUUACUGACGCUGAGGAGCGAAAGCGUGGGGGAGCGAACAGG